rnacentral:rRNA from 1 species
AUUGAACGCUGGCGGCAAGCCUAACACAUGCAAGUCGAACGAGUGGCGGACGGGUGAGUAAUGUCUGGGAAACUGCCUGAUGGAGGGGGAUAACUCCUGGAAACGGUAGCUAAUACCGCAUACCAUCGGAUGUGCCCCGAUGGGAUUAGCUAGUAGGUGGGGUAAAGGCUCACCUAGGCGCCGAUCCCUAGCUGGUCUGAGAGGAUGACCAGCCACACGGGAACGGAGACACGGUCCAGACUCCUACGGGAGGCAGCAGUGGGGAAUAUUGCACAAUGGGCGCAAGCCUGAUGCAGCCAUGCCGCGUGUAGGAAGAAGGCCUUCGGGUUGUAAAGUACUUUCAGCGGGGAGGCGUUACCCGCAGAAGAAGCACCGGCUAACUCCGUGCCAGCAGCCGCGGUAAUUC